GACUGUCCAGUCCUUUCACAGACACUGACACAGGCAGCAUUAUGAUGAUGUCAAACUUUCUACUGCUGGUGAUGCUGAGACUCCUUGUACAGGGAUCAAUGGCAGAUAAAGUUCUGACUCAGGGUCCAGCAGCUCGGUCUGUUCAGCUGGGAGAGACUGUCUCCAUCAGCUGUACAGCCAGUGAGAGUGUGAGCAACUGGCUCAA